GUUGAGUCCAAGUGAAGAACCUCAUCAUGAAAUGUGACUGAUGUCAAAAUAUGACUUGGUGACUAACAAACUUAAUUUUCUUAUCACAUGGGGCACUUCAGCAAAUCACCAGAUCAACAAAUAUUUUGCAUGGUCAGGCUCUCACAUGAGGUGUUUUUGGAGACAAAGUUAGAGAGAACAGACUUGGGUGGUUUGGACACGUCCAGAGGAGGGUGAGUGAGUAUAUUGGUAGAAGGAGGAGGCGGAGGGAGCUGCCGAGCAAGAGAACUGGAGGGAGACCAAAGAGAAGGUUGAUCGAUGCAGUGAGGGAAGACAUGAGGGCAGUUGGUGUCAGAAAGGAGGAUGCAGGAGAUAGACUCUCACAUUAGAUCUUCUAAUAUCUCAGACACGCCAUGUCACGUGAGUAUCCCCAUUCUUAGCCAAUGCUGUGACCUCUGGGCAUGACCACUAACAUCUCAAGACACCCCAUGUCACGUGAUGACCUCAUUCCUUGCAGCUGCCUUGCCAAAAGCCAUGGGACGCACCACUGACGCGGGACGGGGCCAGAAAGGACUAUAUUCACAGGUGUCCCCGAACAUGAUGGCAUGCGGGAAAAACAGAGAACAUAAUCUCACAUUGUUUUCGCUGGAUGGGAGAUCAUUUUGUUUUGCCGGAUGUGACGUAAUUGCCCACGUGAGCUGGCAGCGUACCAAGUGGUGACAUCAGCGGACACUUGCACUGGCACGCUGCUAGGUGGUGACGUCAUAGGCCAUCCAUCAUUUUGACAGAAGCGGGAUAUUAAUGCUCUCUGUUGACCUUACUGAACAGGUUAGCAGUAUCCUAUUAGAUCAAUGUCUUCAAAAUGUGAAGCUUCAGCAUCCAGUGAGUAAAUACAUAUUUGGAUACUAUCAACACUUGCCCCUUAUAUUAUUCAAAUAAAUGACAAGAUGUGGUUCAGUCAUUGAAAGAAAAUGACCAAAUAAAUAUCACAAAAUAUGAGAUCUUGAUUUGAACAGACAAAUAUCACAUUUGGAAAAAGCCUAUAUGAAAACAAGUAUUUGCCAAUGAAACAAUGAAGUCAGCAUGUGUCUAAAUGUGGCCUCCUAAGAAAACUGCAAAAAAAGAUUUUUUUUGGGGGGGGAGGUAAGUGACCUCAAUCUGAUAAUUCUCAAUGAUUUCUAUUGACGUUGUCUGAAAAUAGAAUAUGUUUGAAUGCAGUACAUUCUGGCAACACAAUAAUAAACGUGCUAAUGAAACAA